rnacentral:rRNA from 1 species
GACGAACGCUGGCGGCGUGCCUAAUACAUGCAAGUAGAACGCUGAAGAGAGGAGCUUGCUCUUCUUGGAUGAGUUGCGAACGGGUGAGUAACGCGUAGGUAACCUGCCUUGUAGCGGGGGAUAACUAUUGGAAACGAUAGCUAAUACCGCAUAACAAUGGAUGACACAUGUCAUUUAUUUGAAAGGGGCAAUUGCUCCACUACAAGAUGGACCUGCGUUGUAUUAGCUAGUAGGUGAGGUAAUGGCUCACCUAGGCGACGAUACAUAGCCGACCUGAGAGGGUGAUCGGCCACACUGGGACUGAGACACGGGCCAGACUCCUACGGGAGGCAGCAGUAGGGAAUCUUCGGCAAUGGAGGCAACCCUGGCCGAGCAACGCCGCGUGAGUGAAGAAGGUUUUCGGAUCGGAAAGCUCUGUUGUAAGUCAAGAACGGGUGUGAGAGUGGAAAGUUCACACUGUGACGGUAGCUUACCAGAAAGGGACGGCUAACUACGUG